rnacentral:lncRNA from 1 species
CAUAAUCAUAAACAUCACUUGGAUGUCAUCUAACUAUUUACGUUCAAAAAGCAUUUUCAAUCAACUAAGGAAGUGUGGCUACAAUUUAUAAACUAUUAGGAAAACUUACGUAUGAUAAAUAGUAAGUUGGGACAUGAAUAUCACUUUAAAGAAAGGUGGGAAACUCUGAUGGUUUUUACCAAUAAGAGUAACAAUUCCAUCUAUCAAGGAAUAACUANUGGAAAGAUUUCAAUCUUAUUUCUGUAGAAUUUAAAAUGUAGUAUACAAAAGAUUAUUACACUACAAUGCGGAAUAAUAAACUCUCAAAGUGUAAAAUUGAACAAAAAACGACCCAAAGCUUCUUUAACACCACCAAUGAAGUGUUAUUGAUGUUGAGCUUAGAUUUGUGUCACACCGAAUCAUGCAUCGUCGUCCACGGGAAUGAUAAUGGAUAUAUCGAGAAAGAAUCCGUCGGAAGCCACCAAGAAUUUCGCUGGAGUUAUGGAAAGCUCCCACUUGGUUACCUCUUUAUUCUCUCUCUCUCUCAAAUAUUAUGCCAAGUCCAAGUAUGAGAGAAUCAAGAGGUCUUGUAAUUAUAGAGCCAAUUCAUUUGAAUUCAAAAUUCAAAUAUUGUAUUAUGGUCAAGAGAAUGACAACACUAGUAUAGGUAAUUGACCACAAGAUUAAAUCCAAUGAUUGGAUUUAAUUUAUGAUCCAUAUUACUCCAUAACUAAUACAAUUCAAGUCACAUUCUCUAGAUCAAUCAACUUGCACCAAUAAUAGGAUGUGAUCCACCUUACAAUUUCUUAUCACAUAAACUCGUCGUUACAGAUUGUCAAUGUUUUUUCUAAUCUUAUCAUUCCCCCUUUCCUUAAGUUCGAUAUAUGAUUGCUAAUGUAUUUUAAAUCAAAAUUUAGUCGGAACAAAGGUGGUUUUUUUAUGUUGUUUAUUAGAUUGUUGCUGUACAAGUCCAUUUUAUGAUUGCUGAAACAAAUUAAUUUCAAUUUUACAGCACGAACAUAGUGGGAUGGGCUGUCAUGGUAGCCAUGGGAUUUAAUGCAGCAAUAAGGUUAUUUUUGCCUCAAUCUAAUUGUAUCCUCUUUUACUUUGGAAAUUUACCUUUUCUACAGAUAUAAUCGAAGAACACUUUUUCUUGUAUACAGGAUCAUAAAUUUUUAUGUUGGUAGCAAAGUUUAACAUACAGAUGAAUAUUAAUGUAUCAUGCAGUGUAAGAGUGUCAAAUGAACUUGGCGCCGCUCAUCCAAGAACAGCUAAAUUUUCAGUGCUGGUGGUGGUUUUCUCUUCCUUCUCGUUCGGUCUCCUCCUCUCCCUCAUUCUCAUCAUUUUCCGGAAACAGUAUCCUUCCUUAUUUGCAGAUAGCGCCGAAGUUGAGAAACUUGUGUACGACCUCACACCAUUGCUGGCAUUUUGUGUUGUCAUCAACAAUAUUCAACCAGCUCUAUCAGGUACAUGCAAUUUAUACGUUUUUCCAUGAUAUCCUAUGAAUUAUGCGUUCGUCAUGAGACAUAAAUAUUAAUAGUGAGAAGUUUAUUUAUAUUACUCUUCUAUUUACGAAUUAGAAAGAUAAUGGCAUGUUUAUGGGCUACAAAUUAGAAAGAAGUAAGAUCUGAUAGUAUUCCAUCGAUAAACAUAUUGGUUGCAGGAGUUGCCAUCGGGGCUGGAUGGCAAGCUAUAGUUGCUUACGUGAAUAUUGCAUGCUAUUACUUGUUUGGCAUCCCUUUGGGGCUCGUAUUGGGAUUUAUCUUCGACAGGGGUGUUCAAGUAAGUUGUCAGUAAAAUAAAGUUCUAUAAUCCAAAACCAUUUACAGUUUCACAAUAACUUUUAUACUGAUGAUUUUUCAGGGCAUCUGGGUUGGAAUGACAAUGGGAACAAUUCUACAAACUAUAGUCCUCUUUUGGCUUGUUUACAGAACUAAUUGGAAGAAAGAGGUUUUAGUUCUUUCGUUUCUGUUUCUUUUUAUUGAGGACUAAGAUUUAAUUAUAUUCAUAAAUAUUUGCAUGAAUCUCUUUCUUUUCUGGUAUGAUGCAGGCUUCUGUUGCGUCACAAAGGAUCAAACGAUGGGGAGGGGAAGUACAAGAUAAAUCAAAUAAUGUAGAGCAAUGAAAAAAUUGUUGUUGAAGAAAAAUACACCUAUUGUAUAAUCAGGAGGAAUUUGGACUUGCUAUACAACUUACCAAAUUGGGUAGAGGACUCAAUUUUAGUCGACUUUUCUCUAAGUUUAUGUCCAAGGGAAAAUCUAAAUUUAUGUUUAAGAGAAAAUCUUUGUAUUUUUUAUUUUUAAUUAUCUUGCUAUUAUUAUUUUCUCUUGCAAUUUUUCUUUUUCAUUUUGUCUUUUCUUACAAUCUUUAGAAUCUUCUAUCAAAAAACUUCGAUACUGACAAAUAGAAGGUUCAAUGAUUUGUUUCUUGAUCUGUAAAGAAGAAUCAUCUUUAUUUCUAUUUAUUAUGGGUAAUAUGCGACUUUCUAUAACAACUAAUUUACCAGUUUCUCGAUUUUCAAAAUAAGUAUUAAUAAAUUCUUUAAAAUUUUCUAUUAAACAAUUGAAGAAGUAUAUUCAUCUAACGGCAUUAAAUAUUAAAAUUUUAAAAACAAUAUGUUUGUAAUGACCUUGUAGCACUUUACAGUUCGGCAAAUUAAUUUUUUCGGAUUAUAAAUUGAUCUUUUUUUUUUUUUUUUUUUAAACUCUAUCUUAACUUUUCUUCUUAACCUCCUAACAGAAGACUCAAGACUAUAACAAAAAAGAUUUUCAUCAUGUUUAAAAAUGUUUAAACAAACUUCCUUAAUUGGUAUACAAAAUUGUUAGGAUUUUUACCAAUCUCCUAUGUCCCAGGAAACAAUGAUCUUCACAGAUUUGCAUGACAAACAGGAGAGAAAAUGCAGCAGAAAUGGUAGAAUAUAAAACUAGCAAAGAACUCAGAUAAAUGGACACUAGAAUAGCUUGUUUUAGGGACUAAAUUUCAUCAACCAAUGCAGGGAAUUUAACCCCCAGUCAAUCUGCCAUUACAAGAGGAAAUAUUACAGUGCUUAUCUUACACAAAACAACACCACUCAUCACCCAACCAGGAAUAACUAGAAAGCUUCCAUAAAGUUUACAAAGAUUGCCUGCAGAGAGCUCUCUCUCUCAAUCCUACUUUCGCUCUCUACAGAAAAUGUGCUCCCCAUAUUUUCUUGCCCACCCCCUUUCACGUAUCAGACCUAGUCCUAUUUAUAGCCACAGAUCAAGAGACUUACAAGAAUAUGUGUGUAAUAUUCAGCUAAAAUCACUACCAGAAAAUUAGUUAGAACCAAAGGCUCCUAACUGAUUUUCUAACUCACUAACUAAUCCAACUAAGGAGUUUAAUAACCGAAUCAAGAAUCAAUAUUUUCUCUACAAUCUCCACCUUUGAGUCUUGAUGAGUGUUGUUAAACCAAGAUUGACUAAAAAAUUUCAAUAACACCCUACAUGAUUGAUCAUCCGGUUUUAACCUUUAGCAAUCCAAUGCUCCAUGCAUCUUGCUAACUGGAUUAUUUUUGGUGAGCAAAACAGCAGAUAAACUUCAGUGGCUACCUUGACAACUUCAACUUCCCUCUUGGAAAUUACUUCUUGCACACAAAAGACUUCAAAUUUCUCCUGCUUGUGGCACUUUGGACAGUCAAGACUUCCUCUAACUUCAGCUUCAUCAUCUGCAUCCUCUUUUUGCAGAUUACCAGAUCCACCUUCUUGUUCAUUUUUCUGGUUAUUUUCUUGUGAUGUGUCCAACACAACCUGCUCCUCUUUGUUUUCAAACAUGGCAGCUUCAUUGACUUUAUUCACCUGCAAAACACAAAGUAGUCCCUUCACCACAACCAAGAAUCCUUUCAUAACAUCUAGUUCUUUACCAAAUAUUUUAUAUUUACAGCUUAGAAACGUGGUACUUUAUGUCCUUAGUCCUAUUUGCUGGAUACUUGAAGAACGCAGAAGUGGCAGUCGAUGUUUUAUCUAUAUGGUGAGUUGAUUUAUUAUUGUCCACACAAUAUACAACUUGCUUAAUUUGUUUUCUUUUUGUGUAAUUAUCUUUGUUUUUAUUUGCUUUUUUUAUUAGUCAUUUUUUUAGAACCGUCAAUUUAGGUGAUAGGAUAAAGUGAUAGCGCAUAACAUUAGAAAAAUUAUUUAUAUUUUAAAAAAUAGAUAUUGUAUUUAUAACUAAUUUAUAUAUGAUAGAAUAGUCACCUAGAGAAAAGAAAUAUAAUCGUGGAAAAAGAAAUUAUGAUAUAUUUAUAUAAUGAAAUGAUGAUAUAUCAUAUUUUAAUCAAAUUCUAUGGAAAUUGGAUUUUUAUUUUUUUGGAAAAUCAAGCUAUAUGGAAAUUUCAUGUUAAGUUAAUAUAAAGUAUUAUUCAUAGGUUUUUUUAUUAGAAUGUAAAAUGUUAACAAGUUUAAAAAAUAAUAGGCACUGGGUUUUAAUCAAGUGGCAUUGAAAAUUACAUAUUGACACAUCAAAAGAUAAUUAAAUUUAACAUAUUGAUUUAGUAUAAAAAUUUAUUUAUCCAGAAUCUAAUAAUUUAGUUAUUUAAUGAACUAGAAAUACUAAUUUCAAGUAAAAUUUCAUUUAAAUUAUCUUAUGACAUAUUCAACACAAUCAAAUAUCUAAGUCAUUUUUAAGUUAUCUUAAUAAUUUACUGCCUUGAAAUUUUUAUUAUAUUGUAAAUCUUUUAGAUAAAAUCUAACUUUACUUCUACGUUUUGUUUCUUGGAUAAUUUAAUUAAAGUUUCAUAACGAUUUUAAUAUUUUAGAAGUUUAAUUUUGUUGUGUGAUUGAAUUUUAAAAUUAUACCUUGUCACUUUUUUUUCUCGAAGAUCUUCUUUCUUUGUUUCGCUUUUAACACGAAAUUUUUGUGCAGAAAUAUUUCUCAUACCACUUUUCAAUGAAAUAACUCUAAAAUGAUUUUUUACGACGAACAUCUUUAGCAUUUAAAGUGAAACUUGUAGCAUAUACUACCAAUUUGGAAAGAUUUCAAUCUUAUUUCUGUAGAAUUUAAAAUGUAGUAUACAAAAGAUUAUUACACUACAAUGCGGAAUAAUAAACUAUCAAAGUGUAAAAUUGAACAAAAAACGACCCAAAGCUUCUUUAACACCACCAAUGAAGUGUUAUUGAUGUUGAGCUUAGAUUUGUGUCACACCGAAUCAUGCAUCGUCGUCCACGGGAAUAAUAAUGGAUAUAUCGAGAAAGAAUCCGUCGGAAGCCACCAAGAAUUUCGCUGGAGUUAUGGAAAGCUCCCACUUGGUUACCUCUUUAUUCUCUCUCUCUCUCAAAUAUUAUGCCAAGUCCAAGUAUGAGAGAAUCAAGAGGUCUUGUAAUUAUAGAGCCAAUUCAUUUGAAUUCAAAAUUCAAAUAUUGUAUUAUGGUCAAGAGAAUGACAACACUAGUAUAGGUAAUUGACCACAAGAUUAAAUCCAAUGAUUGGAUUUAAUUUAUGAUCCAUAUUACUCCAUAACUAAUACAAUUCAAGUCACAUUCUCUAGAUCAAUCAACUUGCACCAAUAAUAGGAUGUGAUCCACCUUACAAUUUCUUAUCACAUAAACUCGUCGUUACAGAUUGUCAAUGUUUUUUCUAAUCUUAUCAUUCCCCCUUUCCUUAAGUUCGAUAUAUGAUUGCUAAUGUAUUUUAAAUCAAAAUUUAGUCGGAACAAAGGUGGUUUUUUUAUGUUGUUUAUUAGAUUGUUGCUGUACAAG